UGUUGACGAUCCUCCUCCUAUUCCUAAAGGCCACCCACGCCUGUUUCAAAUGCUUCUCGGCCAUCGCCGUAUUUUUCACCCUGAGUGCGGAACUCUUGCUGCCCACCGAGAUGUUCCUGCUUUGGAACAGCGCGGCAGUGCUUAUCAGCGUGCCAGUCGACGUGUUCAUAUACUUGAUUCGACUUCUGGAACAUAGGCUGCCGACCAGCGAAUACGGCUGCAUUCCGAACGCCAACGAAGCAGUGACAGUGGUCACCCUGGCCCGAGGAGCGUCGCUUAAUAUGACG
rnacentral:lncRNA from 1 species